CAACUUCCUUAAUACAGAGGUUAUCUCAUCCUUAUCAUAACAGACUAUUAUUUAUAGCAAAAUAUUAUAACUUAUAAUACUUUGCUAUGAAUAAUAG